rnacentral:rRNA from 1 species
UCCGUUGGUGAACCAGCGGAGGGAUCAUUACCGAGUUUUCAUCAACUCCCUUACCCUAUGUGAACGUUACCCAUACCGUUGCUUCGGCGGUGCGGCCCCGUGCGGAUUCGUCCUGCCGGGCCAAGGCCCCCGCCGGAGGACCACGAACUCUUUGUCUUUUUACGAGUCUCUGAGGCGGCCCUGGGCCGAUUUAAAAAAAACAAAAUGAAUCAAAACUUUCAACAACGGAUCUCUUGGUUCUGGCAUCGAUGAAGAACGCAGCGAAAUGCGAUAAGUAAUGUGAAUUGCAGAAUUCAGUGAAUCAUCGAAUCUUUGAACGCACAUUGCGCCCGCCAGCACUCUGGCGGGCAUGCCUGUUCGAGCGUCAUUUCAACCCUCUGCCGCCCCCCGGGGCGGCGGGCUCUUGGGGGACGACCGCCGGUUUGGUCCGGUGGCCGCCCCCGAAAUGCAGUGGCGACCGAGCCGCGAACUCAUUUGCGCAGUAGACUCAAUGCUCGCACUCGAGAGCGGAUCGGCCCCGCCGUGAAACCCCCAACUUCUGAAAGGUUGACCUCGGAUCAGGUAGGAAUACCCGCUGAACUUAAGCAUAUCAAUAAGCGGAGGA